AAUUCCAGAAGAAUCAUCCAGUUAUUUCAUCUUUCGUUCCAACUAUGGAGAAACAUGGGUUGGACUUCAGAAUUCUUUUUUUUUUUUUCCCAAACUUUCAAGGACUGCUCUUCAACUUCAUCUUCUCAACUGGAAGUGCAAUUUUAGAGAUAAUAGAUCUGAAGAACAAGAAACUUGGGUGAAUCAAAGAUGUUGUGGCAAACAUAUGUUGAUGAUCACUUGCUUUGUGAGAUUGAAGGUAAUCAUCUCACUUCUGCUGCUAUUAUCGGUCAAGACGGCACGGUUUGGGCCCAAUCUGCUAAUUUCCCUCAGGGUGACACUUGGCUAAAAUAAGAAGCUUAAAUGACUUGGUUGACAAGUGACAACUAUAUGAAAAUGGCCAUUCACAGUGUAAGUUUCCAAUCUUUUUUUGUGUGAUGUUGAGCUUAAGUUGUCUCAUGCUCUGUAGUUGAGGUUUCUCAUCAUGCAUGGUCGCGAAGAUAUUCUGUUUUGCUAACUCCAUUUUAUGUUUUAUCCCGGUGUCGAGAAAGGGUUACCAGUUUAGUGUUUCUAGAAUUACCUUUAUCUUAUUGCUCUUUGGCAAUGGUAUUUCAUUUGCUUACAUGUGUAAUCCUACAGUACCAUUACUACUAUUUCAACUUUUUUGUCAACAAGAAGAAUUAGAUAUAACUUAUAGUUUUUCAGAAUGAGUAGAUAUUUUUCCAUGUGAUAUCUUUUCUCAAUUAGUAGUUAACCCGUUAUGGAGCAUUGGCUACAGAUUGUUAUUUAGAUGACUUUAUUUUAUUUUUUUACUCUCAAGUUGUUCGAGGGACGAGGGGAUAAAAUACAGUAAACAACCAUAUGAAUAGUGGAAUAAUAUGAAUGACAGCUAUCUCAUGUAACAAUUUCUUAAGAGCACGAUUCUGGUCGUGCUACAAUUACUAAUGUUAUUUGGUCAAGAAUUAUCAUUAGCAAAAAUAUUUCUUUCUAUUUCUUUGUCUAGACAAUCUAUUUGAACACUAAGGUAUAAAUGAUUAAUAUCAUCGAUUAUUUCUUCUUUUUAUUUGAUAUUUAGGUCAGUAGAAAUGUGUAUCUGUACAAUCCUUCUAAUGUGUUUCUCAAUCUAAUGAUGAUUAAAUACAUUACUUUGAUAUCUGAUCUCCAUGCUAGCCUCUCCAUUUUCAUUGUAUAAAUGAAAUUUAAUUUUUCUGUUUUAAUCCUUACAAGAACACAAUGUCAAUGUGUUUUUUUAUUUUAACUAUAUAGAAGCGUGGGUUAGGAGAAUGGAUCGACAUGGUGCCUUAUGUGUCAAUAAAAUUACAAUCAAGGGCAAUUUAGAGAUUCAAGGCAGGCUUAUUUAGGUUAGUUUACGUGUCAACAACCCUCCAGCUGUCACUUUCUUCUCACAGAACUCAUCUCUGUGCCGACUGCCUCUCCGAUGUUCAAAAACCCGAACACCACACUCCUUUUCACCUUACACACUCCCAUUCCACCUUCCCACAAAGGCGUUCGAGGUAUUCACAAAAUCUGGCAAAACGGAGAAGCCAGGUUUGUCUCAAAGGGUACCAAAGGAGAUUCCAACCAUUGAUAUUCCUCUCAGGGUAAGUUCACUGUUUUCCAUAUCCUUUAAACUUGGGUACAUCAUUCAUGUUCUUUGAUUGUUGUUUAUCUCGACUCUUUUAUGACAUUUUGAUCAAUGAAUUUUGUUAUGUUAGUUUGUUGGAGAGAUUGCACAAGCAAUGUGUUUUUUAUUUUAACUAUAUAGAAGCGUGGGUUAGGAGAAUGGAUCGACAUGGUACCCUAUGUGUCAAAAAAAUUACAAUCAAGGGCAAUUUAGAGAUUCAAGGCAGGCUUAUUUAGGUUAGUUUACGUGUCAACAACCCUCCAACUGUCACUUUCUUCUCACAGAACUCAUCUCUGUGCCGACUGCCUCUCCCAUGUUCAAAAACCCGAACACCACACUCCUUUUCACCUCACACACUCCCAUUCCACCUUCCCACAAAGGCGUUCAGGGUAUUCACAAAAUCCGGCAAAACGGAGAAGCCAGGUUUGUCUCAAGGGGUACCAAAGGAGAUUCCAACCAUUGAUAUUCCUCUCAGGUUUGUUGGAGAGAUUGCACAAGAUAUUACACAUGUUGGAUAGGAUAAAUAAAGCUUAUGUGGAUGAGAACCAUAAGCCAUGGUGGCCUCUGCUGCCUCACUCACUUUUGGUAAAAGUAACAGGUGAUGCUCGCUCUGCAGUAGAAAUAUGUCAACAAGUUGUAAUACUUGGGAUUAUCACGAAACAUUCUCUGAAUUAAGCAAGCAUGAAACUUCCCUGUCAGGGAACUAUAUUGCUUGACUAUCAUAUUCCUAUAUUGCGAUAUAUUUACAUGUUCAUCCUCUUAUGGUAUUGGUUUGAGAGACGCUUUGUGUACUUCUGCCACUGACAUACUAAAGUUGUCCAUUAUCACAUUCAUUCUUUUGUUUCUUUAGUGUGAUCUUCAUCCAAGAUUAUUAAUUUGGUAUUUCCAGGAAGUUUUUGAACCAAAUUAAACAUCAAACUGCUAUCUUUUUGCAAAAUUACACUGCCUGUUUUGAAAGCUGGAUUCCCGAAGAACAAAGAAUAUAUGCAAACGCACAAUACUUUAACAAGGUAUGUCACACAACUAACUCAACUCUACUGCUGCUACACGCUCUACUCCCUCCAUUACACACUUCUAUUUUAACUAGAAAGCCAUCGUUAAUAGCCUCUCCAGGUAUUUUGUCAACCACGCAUCACACAGCUACAACGUUAACUGCGAAGAACAAGAUGACUGCCAGCGGCAUAGUCGGUGGUUGUGUUACUAUAUUGCCUUUUGCCGCUACCGGCUUCUAUCAAUAUAUAAGUAAUGUGUGUUUGCAUAGACAUGCCAUCAUCAAUGUGUAUAUAAACAUUAUGCUUUGGUUGUGCAAUACCUUCUUCUGUCAAACUGUUAAUAAUGUGUAUGUUUAUAUAUAUAUAUAUAUAUAUAUAUAUAUAUAUAUAUAUAUAUAUAUAUAUAUAUAUAUAUAUAUAAACAUAAACCGUUUAAACGAUAUGCUUCAAUUGCCCCGUACAUAUGUCACCAUAACUUUUACAUCAGAUGUGUGUUUAUAUAGGUAACUAUCGGGCCCGUGCGUGCACGGGCAAAAACCAUCUAGUAAUAUAGUAGAAAAAUGAGUUGAAACUUGUAUAUUCGAUUGAACCUGCUCGUUACACUAUCAAUCUGCGCCCCUGGUCACUGCAAUGACUAUUAACGUCAAAAUACUAAUAGCAAGGUGCCACCUUAACUAUAUAUGAAGUGGAUAAAUCAAUUAUUAUAAUUAAAAAAUCCUUAUGAUCUUUCAUAUAUCAAGUGGAUAAAUCAAUUAUAAUUAAAAUCCAUAUGAUAUUUCUAGUAAGGAAAUCCCCAAUUAAAGAUUUCUUCAGAGCUUAAUUACACGUUGCCUUAUAAAACGUAGUACUUCCCUUGAAAUUGCUUUGCCGUUAUGGUAACAAUUUGUAACCAAUUAUACAUUGUUUCUUCUUGUUUUUCUUCUUCUUCUAGUACACCAUUCUAAGUAAUACUUUUUGAAAAUUUCCAAAUUAAUUACAAAUGAAGAUGGAGAAUAAUGAAAAAAGAGAGAACAGGCCUUGCCAUUAUGCCUUCAAGUUCAUAUGCAGAGCUACACUCACUUUACUUUCUGGGACAAUCACAGGUUUAUUGAUUAAGUUUUUUAUUAAGAUUUUUUCACAUGUGAAAACAGGCCAUUUAGAGAACAUUGACAAAAUAAACAUAGUUUUAGGCUUGUUAUUUUUUGUUGUUUGUGUAAUUCUAACAGCUUCUUUGAUAGUUUUUACGUUAAUUGAUUUGAAAAACAUGUUUAGAGCACUUUGGGGUUGGAUUAAGGAACCAGGAUCUUCUGUUUUUACAACUUUAUCGGAGUCUGAGGAGAUUCAACGAAGAAAUGUUAUCGAGGAAGUUUUGUAAUAUUUUCAGAAGAUUGAACAUUGGCUAUAACGUUAUCAUCUUAAUUACCUUACUUUUAUUUAUUUUAGAUCAUGAAUGAAAUAUUGUCCUAUUGCAUUCCCUAUUAUAAAGAAAUCAACCUUGUUAUUUGGUA